UGGGGAAUAUUGGACAAUGGGCGCAAGCCUGAUCCAGCCAUGCCGCGUGAGUGAUGAAGGCCUUAGGGUUGUAAAGCUCUUUCACUGGGGAAGAUAAUGACGGUACCCAGAGAAGAAGCCCCGGCUAACUUCGUGCCAGCAGCCGCGGUAAUACGAAGGGGGCUAGCGUUGUUCGGAAUCACUGGGCGUAAAGUGCACGUAGGCGGACUUUUAAGUCAGGGGUGAAAUCCCAAGGCUCAACCUUGGAACUGCCUUUGAUACUGGAAGUCUUGAGUUCGGGAGAGGUGAGUGGAACUGCGAGUGUAGAGGUGAAAUUCGUAGAUAUUCGAAAGAACACCAGUGGCGAAGGCGGCUCACUGGCCCGAUACUGACGCUGAGGUGCGAAAGCGUGGGGAGCAAACAGG
rnacentral:rRNA from 1 species